GAUGUAGCUCAGAUGGUAGAGCGCUCGCUUAGCAUGCGAGAAGUUCGGGGAUCGAUACCCCGCAUCUCCA
rnacentral:tRNA from 1 species